rnacentral:rRNA from 1 species
GACCUCGGAUCAGGUAGGGAUACCCGCUGAACUUAAGCAUAUCAAUAAGCGGAGGAAAAGAAACCAACAGGGAUUGCCUCAGUAACGGCGAGUGAAGCGGCAACAGCUCAAAUUUGAAAUCUGGUCCUUCCGGGGCCCGAGUUGUAAUUUGUAGAGGAUGUUUCGGGCGCGGCGAACGGUCUAAGUCCCUUGGAACGGGGCGUCAUAGAGGGUGAGAAUCCCGUAUGUGAUCGGCGACCAAGCCCAUGUGAAACUCCUUCGACGAGUCGAGUUGUUUGGGAAUGCAGCUCAAAAUGGGUGGUAAAUUUCAUCUAAAGCUAAAUACCGGCCAGAGACCGAUAGCGCAC